rnacentral:rRNA from 1 species
GACGAACGCUGGCGGCGUGCUUAACACAUGCAAGUCGAACGAUGAAGCAAAGAAUCGAAGCUUCGGCAGAAAUUCAUUUCGGAUUAGUGGCAGACGGGUGAGUAACGCGUGAGCAACCUACCUCUUACAAAGGGAUAGCCUCGGGAAACCGGGAUUAAUACCAUAUAACAUUGUGACGAAGCAUUUCGAUGCAAUCAAAGCUACGGCGGUAAGAGAUGGGCUCGCGUCCCAUUAACCGGAUGGUGAGGUAACGGCUCACCAUAGUGACGAUGGGUAACCGGCCUGAGAGGGUGAACGGUCACACUGGAACUGAGACACGGUCCAGACUCCUACGGGAGGCAGCAGUGGGGAAUAUUGCACAAUGGAGGGAACUCUGAUGCAGCGACGCCGCGUGAGUGAUGAAGGAAUUCGUUUCGUAAAACUCUGUUCUAUGGGAAGAAAAGGACUGUACCAUAGGAGAAAGCUCCGGCGAAAUACGU